AGGGUAAUAUGUAGACGGGCCUUACCCCUACCCGAAAGGGCAGAGAAGCUGUUUCCAAUCGACCCUCGGCUCAGUGAAGUAAAGGAACAACAAAAACAGAAACGACAAAAAGAGCAUUAGUAACUUCUAACAUAAAUAUCGUAAAUAAUUAUCUAAACAUAAAAACCUAAAAAUAAAAAACAUAAGAACUAUAAAUAAAAUAGCAUGCAAUAAUAUCAGACACUAACUAGCAUAAGACAAAUCCAAUACACAAAUCAUCUAUGAAUAGCCCUGCCAAGCCUCACCCAACCCUGGGUGAGGAGUAUGAAGAACUCUAGGAGCUCCUACCCUACAACCCUAAUACUAGACCUCCAGACUUUCCUAUCAAGGGCCAUGUCCUCAAAAUCCCGCAUUCUAGCCAUGUCAUGCCUAAUCACCUCUCCCCAAAUUGAAAAAUCCGAGUUUUAUUGGUUUGGUUUGGUCUUUAGAUUAAUAACCCGAUACCAUGUCAUGCCUAAUCACCUCUCCCCAAUAUAUGAAUUUGCAUAUACAAAUCAUAUAUUUGUUAAAAAAAGUGGAGAUUUUAAAUUAUUUUGUCUAAGUUUUAAUUUCUGGCAGCAUGAAGAUCAUAACUCUAGGGGUAAAAGAAAAGGCAUGAAACAAGUGUUCUAGAGUAGAAGGAGACAAUUUGUAAUAUGCUUCGCAUUGCUGAUAUGUUGAUGACUUGAAAGAAGGUUUAUACCAUAAUCAACCAGGUUGGUCUCCUAAUUUUUCGUAUUUUAUAUAUGCUAUUGAUUGAAAUCUUUUUCUCUGAUGUUGAGAUAGAUAAGUGAUGUUAGUGCUUGAAGCAGGUUGCUCGAUAUUACUUCUAUUUCUGAAUAUCUUCCAUGAGUAAGUUAGAAAAGUUAGGAUUUGAGGUGUGUUUUAUAUUUUAUCUGUUUUAUUUUCCUUUAGUUUCUUUGUUUUUCUAUUUUUUUCAAUAUGAAUAUAAUAUUGUAUAGUGGUUUAAAAUCGUGCCUGAGUUGUUACAUAUGCCAAACUGGCUUUAUUGAAAAAUUUGGCAUGGCUAAAAUGAGACUCAGGCAGUUUGGGGAGCUCGAUAGGAAUCAGUGGAUCACUGCACCUUUCGCAUUUAACUUGAACGUUCAAUCAAGUACAAGGUAUGAACAAUGAUACUUAUUCUCAAGUGAUGAUUCUAGAUUAAAGAACCAUGAUGCUGUCACAUAUUUCAGUAACAAUGAAUAGCCCCUUAAUCUAAUUUUAGAGAAAUAAGAAGCCCAACAGAACAUGACAAAUUUAAUUGAAGUUUCUUUGUCGAGAUUAUUGCUUUCCCAUGCCAGUAAAAGACUUUGCUGGGGAAGUUUAGCUGAUUACUUGCAAACCUGAAAAGUUUAGUCAAAAGAACUCAAAAAUAUAGUUUAAAACCUGGCUGAACUUGUUUUUUUAUGUGGAUAAUAAGGUGCCAGUAAACUUAAUUAGUCGAUAUAAAUGAUAUCUAUAAUGUUCUACUUGGAACCCAAGCUCAACAAAGAAAUAGAUAGAUGAGGAUUUUAAUUUUCAACUACAUGAGUCUUUGUCCAUUCACUAAGUUUUGUAGGUGUUUCAUGAGUUAUGUAAUGACGCGUCCUACUCUAUAACCAACAAAAAUUUAGAGCUCCAGUCUAACCUUAAUUGCUUGAAGAUGCAGGCAUGCAGCAGAACCAUCAGUGAGUUCUUACAAGUCUGUGGAGCAACUCACAGUUGCAUCUGGUGAAAAGACAAUACUUAAAUACCUAAUUGGUGCAUUAAAUGGCUUCUUAGGUAUUUUGCGAAUGAGAUUGCACCGACUUUUUGAUGAUAUCAAGACAUGGGUAGCUACAAAGACUAUUUCUGAUUUCCUUUGUGGUGUUGUUUUGUCUGAUUUUUUCUGUUCUUGAGUUUGUGUAAAAAUGGCUGGUAUGUUUAACCAAUCUAGUAACUUUUCUCAAGUGUUGCAUCUGGCAAGUUGUCAUCUUUAGACGCUCCUGUCAUUUAGAUGUUGAUAUGAGGCUUUCCUCUUCCUUAUUGUGGUUGGGCAAACUAUAUAUGUUGUCAUCUAUAUAUGAUGUUGUCGUUUA
rnacentral:lncRNA from 1 species